rnacentral:lncRNA from 1 species
GUGGGACAUAGGAAGUUGUGCCUAUCAUGGCCUGGACUUGUUUUCUCAUCCUGCUGCUCUCUUACUGCAUAGGUAGGAAAAUGCUUCAGGAAUCAGUUUUUGAUUCACUGUUUGCAUCAACUCUUUAGGUAUGAACCUAUGAGAAGUUUUACCAUGGGCACUAUCUUCUCUAUUUUUCUCUGUAGGUUCCCUCUCCCAGCCUGUGCUGACUCAACUGCCAUCUCUCUCUGCAUCUCCGGGAGCAUCUUCCAAGCUUACCUGCACUCUGAGCAGCGGCUUCAGUGUUGGUAGCUACAGGAUAUAUUGGUACCAGCAGAAGCCAGGGAGUCCUCCCAAGUAUCUCCUGAACUAUUACUCAGAGUCAAGCAAGCACCAGGGCCCUGGGGUCCCCAAUCAUUUCUCUGGAUCCAAAGAUACCUCAGCCAAUGCGGGUGUUCUGUGGAUAUCUGGGCUCCAAAUUGAAGAUGAGGCUGACUAUUACUGUGCGGUGGGGCACAAUAAUGCUUUUCACAGUGAAACAGGCAGAUGGGGAA